AGUAUUAAUGGAAUUAUAAUAUAUUGAAAAUAGGGUUAAGGUGGAAAAAGGGUAGGAUGGAGAUUUAAAAAGGAAAAAAAAAGGGUUUGGGAAAAAAGGAAAGAAAGAAGGCCGUGCGUGUGAGAGGUAGCAGGAGGAGAAGGAGAGAAAGAGUAGUGUGUGCGUGAAACCUCAGAAAGGGAGGGAGAACGGUUCCGUUUCAAAGAUUUUGAUCAGGGAACUCGGAGCUGCACUCAAUCCAAAGGUAAGGGUGGGGUUUUGAGUUUCUAAUGGGAUUUUGGUGAAUGAUAUGUGGAUUUGGGGAUGUAUAAUUGUUGUUGUUAAUGAUGCUCUGGAAAUCUGAAAUUGAAUCCAAUGAUUUUGGGGAUUCUGGGUGAUUGAAUGGGGGAGGAAAAAUCUGGAAUUGGGGUUCACAGAUUCUGGAUUGAAAUCCUGGACUAAAUUUCUGGCUUUAAUUUCUGGUUUGCCAUGGUUUUCUGUUUUGAAUUUCUGUUUUGAGUUUCUGUCUUGAAUUUACGAUUGUUGUACCUGUGGUCUGGUUGAUGGGAUUCAUGAUACAUGGAUUCUGUGAUGCUAUCAAUGUAUGCAAUGAUUCAUAGGAAACUUUGCUAAAUGGCUAGGUACUAUAUGAUUUAUGCACAGAUUUGAUGAUGCUGUGCUGCUGUCCAAAAUUUUCUGGGCUGCACAGUACACUUCGAGACCUGUUUUCGCCCAGUUAGAGUGCUCAAAUGAAGAUGUGAUCAACUAAGAAAUUGUAGGACUUUAAGUUAGCUUUCUAGGCAUAUACAAUACAUGAUUUUUGGUUCAGUAACGAAUUCAGGAGACCGCUUUUAGUGGCUGGUGUUCCUGCUGUUUUUCCAGAUUACGGAAAUUCUGAUUGUUUUGAGGGCUGGACAGUACACUUCGAGACCUGUUUUCGCCCCGUUAGAGUGCUCAAAUGAAGAUGUAAUCAACUAAGAAAUUGUAGGACUUUAAGUUAGCUUUCUAGGCAUAUAAAAUACAUGAUUUUUGGUUCAGUAACGAAUUCAUGAGACCGCUUUUAGUGGCUGGUGUUCCUGCUGUUUUUCCAGAUUACGGAAAUUCUGAUUGUUUUGAGGGCUGGACAGUACACUUCGAGACCUGUUUUCGCCCAGUUAGAGUGCUCAAAUGAAGAUGUGAUCAACUAAGAAAUUGUAGGACUUUAAGUUAGCUUUCUAGGCAUAUAAAAUACAUGAUUUUUGGUUCAGUAACGAAUUCAUGAGACCGCUUUUAGUGGCUGGUGUUCCUGCUGUUUUUCCAGAUUACGGAAAUUCUGAUUGUUUUGAAAAUAUAAUUAGAUUUAGCUUACAUGUUGUAUGAAAGUUAAUGUCUUUAUGUGCCAUGUAUUAGCUAUGAGGAUUAUGCAUGUGGCUGAACACCUUUAGCAUGAAAUCCAUAAUUUAUUUACCAUAUGUGAUAGCUUCUUCCAUGAUUGCAUGCUUAAGUGAGUUGUUUCAUUGAUUUGUUGCCAAAAUUGCCUAAGAUGUCAGGGUAAUUGUAUAGUUGAUAAAAAUGCAUGUGUGCUGAAUUGUGUUGUUUUAAGCGAUGUUAGUGAUGUAGUGAUAUAGGCGCAAUGCCUCAUGUUGAAGUGAUGAUUAUGAGAUGUAUACGUCCUUUUGAGUCGCAUAGCAUCUGCAUACUCUGUGAUGGCCUGUAUUGGCGAUUUGUGAUGAAGGCUUAUGCCUUGUGCCUCCAAUAAUUGGCAAUUAGUGAUGAGGGCUGAAGCCCUGUUGGUACCACAUACAUAUGCAUAGUCAUUGUUGUGUUCGAAUUGUAUCCGAGUUGAUGAUGUUAUUUGUGACUGUUUUUAGUAACUGAGCUAUGUAAAUGUAAAAGGAAAUGGUGUGGCCUUAAUCUAGCAUAUUAAUUUUCAUUCUCCUAUUUAUGUUACUCGAUAUCUCACCCCUUCUGUUUGAAUGUUACCCUUGUCGGUAACGUGCAGGUAACCAGGAGGAGUAGUCUAUAACUUUUAGUUCGAGUUGGAGUCCUUGCUCUGAUACGUAGCACUCGGGGGGGAAAUGGACGCUUGUUUUCCUUUCUGUUAUAAUUUGAAUUAAGUUGUUAUUUGAGAAGUUGUUUCUGUUUUAAGUUGUGGGCAAGAUACUAUGUUUUCUUUAAGUUUUAAAGACAUUGGAUUCGCUGCAUAACUAUUUGUCAAAGUGAACUAGUUCAAUGACUAAUUAACUGUCACAAGAGCAUUAAAGUUUAUUUAUGAGUUCAUCUCAAAGUUUAUGUGCUAUGUAUCUGUUACAGGAGCAUUAUGAUAAUGUUUUAAGUGAUUAUGUAAUGCCUCAUGAGUGUUAAACUUUUUAUCACUCUGAUAUUUGCAAUACAUAUACUGUUUAGAAUUGGGGUGCUACAUUAGUGGUAUCAGAGCAGGUCGGUCCGUCCGGCCAAGUUAACGAGUCGUAGUUGUCUAACAAUCGAGUAUUGUUAUUUCAUUUUAACUGAUUUUUGUAUUGUAGUGAUAAGAUGGCUGGAAGGAAUGAUGCUGCGAUUGCUGCUGCUUUGCAAGCGAUGGCUCAGGCUAUGCAGAACCAGCCGAAUGCUGACGAGAAUGCUGGAUCUCGUAGUUUGGCGACCUUCCAAAGAGAGAAUCCACCGGUGUUCAAGGGUAAGCAUGAUCCAGAUGGAGCAUUGGAGUGGUUGAAGGAGAUUGAGAGGAUUUUCCGUGUGAUGGAUUGCACCCCAGCUCAAAAGGUUCGGUAUGGCACUCAUAUGCUAGCAGUCGAAGCUGAUGACUGGUGGCUGGAAAUGCGCGACAAAUUGGAAGCUGCAGGCGAGGGAAUUACUUGGGAUGUGUUUCGUAGGGAGUUCUUGAGGAAGUACUAUCCUGAAGAUGUUCGGGGUAAGAAAGAGAUUGAGUUCCUCGAGCUGAAACAAGGGAAUCGGUCAGUGACAGAAUAUGCUGCGAAGUUCGUUGAGUUGGCUAAGUUUUACCCACAUUUCAAUGGAGAAGGUGCUGAAUUUUCUAAGUGCAUCAAGUUUGAGAAUGGAUUGCGCUCUGACAUCAAGAAGGCUGUUGGAUAUCAGAAGAUUCGUGUCUUCUCUGAUUUGGUUGAUAGUUGCAGAAUCUUUGAAGAAGAUAGCAAUGCUCAUCACAAAGUUGUUACCGAUAAGAGAGGCAAGAGUCAACAGAACCGCGGCAAGCCUUAUGAUGCGGGAAAGGGUAAACAGAGAAUUUCUCCAGUCAGAGGACUAGUGGGGGAGACGCUCCUGCUAAGAUUGUGUGUUUCAAAUGUGGGCAGCCUGGUCACAGGAGCAAUGCGUGCACUACUGCUGAGGGGAAGAGGUGUUUCCGUUGUGGUAAGGCGGGACAUGCAGUUUCUGAGUGCAGGCAUAAGGAAGCUGUCUGUUUCAAUUGUGGUGAAGAAGGACAUAUAAGUACUCAGUGUCAGAAACCAAAGAAAGCGCUUGGUAGCAAGGUGUUCGCUUUGGCUGGGACUCAGACACCUAGUGAGGACCGACUUAUCAGAGGUACAUGUUUCAUUAAUAGUACGCCAUUAAUCACUAUUAUUGAUACCGGUGCUACUCAUUGUUUUAUUGCCGCUGCUUGUGUUGAAAGAUUGGGUCUGGGGUUGUCUUCUAUGAAAGGGGAAAUGGUCGUCGAGGUCCCAGCUAAGGGAUCGGUGACUACUUCUCGUGUGUGUUUGAGUUGUCCCUUGUCGAUCUUCGACAGAGACUUUGUUGUUGAUUUGAUUUGUUUACCGUUAAGCGGUCUAGAUGUGAUCUUGGGUAUGAAUUGGUUAGAGUAUAACUACGUUCAUAUCAAUUGUUAUAACAAAUCGUUGAGGUCUUCUACUGCGGUAGAGAAAGAAGAUGGCUUGAUGACUGGUAAACAGCUAAGGCAAUUGAUGCAAGACGAAGCGCAGAUGUUCUCGUUGUUGGCGUCGUUAUCUAUCGAGAAUCAAGCUAUAAUUGAUGAGUUGCAAGUGGUGCGAGAAUUUCCUGAGGUAUUUCCUGAUGAAAUUCCUGAUAUACCGCCAGAAAGAGAAGUUGAGUUUACAAUUGAUCUUGUACCUGGUACCAGACCUGUAUCCAUGGCACCGUACAGGAUGUCUGCAUCUGAAUUGUCCGAACUGAAGAAGCAAUUAGAGGAGUUGCUUGAGAAAAAGUUUAUAAGACCAAGUGUAUCACCGUGGGGAGCUCCAGUAUUGUUAGUAAAGAAGAAAGACGGAAGUAUGACACUUUGUGUUGAUUACAGACAGCUGAAUAAAGUGAUGAUUAAGAACAAGUAUCCGCUUCCGAGAAUUGAUGACUUGAUGGAUCAAUUAGUGGGUGCAAGAGUGUUUUCUAAGAUUGAUUUGAGGUCAGGAUAUCAUCAGAUUAGAGUGAAAGGAGAUGAUAUUCAGAAGACCGCGUUCAGAACUCGGUAUGGGCAUUACGAGUAUUCGGUGAUGCCUUUUGGUGUUACUAAUGCGCCAGGAGUAUUCAUGGAGUACAUGAACCGUAUUUUUCAUACAUAUUUGGAUCGGUUUGUGGUAGUAUUCAUUGCUGACAUUCUGAUUUUCUCUAAAUCGGAAAAUGAACAUGAAGACCACCUAAGGGUUGUGUUGCAAGUUUUGAAAGAUAAGAAGUUGUAUGCGAAGUUGUCCAAGUGUGAAUUCUGGUUGCAAGAGGUUAGUUUUCUUGGUCAUGUCAUUUCCGGUAGUGGCAUUGCCGUAGAUCCUUCUAAGGUAGAUGCUGUGUUGCAAUGGGAGGCUCCAAAGUCAGCUACUGAGAUUAGAAGCUUCUUGGGAUUAGCCGGUUAUUAUAGGCGGUUUAUCGAAGGUUUUUCUAAGUUGGCACUUCCGUUGACUAGGCUUACUUGUAAGGGCAAGGCUUUUGUCUGGGAUGUUCGAUGUGAGGAAAGUUUCACUGAAUUGAAGAAGAGGUUGACGUCGGCUCCGGUGUUGACUUUGCCUAAUCCAGGAGAGCCUUUUGUGGUAUAUUGUGAUGCUUGUUUAAUGGGUUUAGGUGGUGUACUCAUGCAAAAUGGUAAAGUGGUUGCUUAUGCGUCGAGACAGUUAAGAACUCAUGAGAAGAAUUAUCCCACACAUGAUUUAGAAUUGGCUGCAGUUGUUUUUGUGCUGAAAAUUUGGAGACACUACCUUUAUGGUUCCAGAUUUGAAGUGUUUAGUGACCAUAAGAGUUUGAAGUAUCUUUUUGAUCAGAAGGAGUUGAACAUGAGACAGCGAAGAUGGUUGGAAUUACUGAAAGAUUUUGAUUUCGGUUUGAAUUAUCAUCCAGGCAAAGCUAAUGUUGUGGCUGAUGCUUUAAGCCGAAAGACCUUGCAUAUGUCGGCAAUGAUGGUUAAAGAGUUGGAAUUGAUUGAGAAGUUCCGAGACUUGAGUUUGGUUUGCGAAGUGACACCGCAAAGUGUUAUGUUGGGAAUGUUAAAAGUUAAUAAUGAAUUUCUCGACAAUAUCAAAGAGGCUCAGAAGCUGGAUGUGAAGUUGGUAGAUAGGAUGAUGGGAGUUAAUCAGUCGGAGAAUGAUGAAUUCAAGUUAGAUACGCAAGGCGUGUUGAGAUUCCGAGGUCGGAUUUGCGUUCCCGAGGAUGAAGAAAUUAAGAAAAUGAUUCUUGAAGAAAGUCAUAGAAGUCGUUUGAGCAUACAUCCGGGAGCUACUAAGAUGUAUCAGGACUUGAAAGGCUUGUUUUGGUGGCCUGGUAUGAAACGUGAUGUGGCACAGUUUGUCUAUGCUUGUUUGACUUGCCAGAAGUCGAAGAUUGAGCAUCAGAAACCUGCAGGGUUGAUGCAACCGUUAGAAGUCCCAGAAUGGAAAUGGGAUAGCAUUUCGAUGGACUUCGUGAUGGGAUUACCGAAUACCUCGAGAGGACAUGAUUCGAUUUGGGUGAUUGUUGAUAGGCUUACAAAGUCGGCACACUUUAUUCCUAUUAACAUCACAUAUCCAGUUCCCAAGUUGGCGGAAAUCUAUACUAAGGUAAUUGUGAAAUUACAUGGUGUUCCUUUGUGUAUUGUGUCAGAUAGAGAUCCGAGGUUUACUUCUGAUUUUUGGAAGAGUUUGCAAGAAGCGUUGGGAUCUAAGUUGAGGUUGAGUUCGGCGUAUCAUCCGCAGACAGAUGGUCAGACCGAGAGGACGAUCCAGUCUCUAGAGGAUUUGUUAAGAGCAUGUGUUCUUGAGCAGGGAGGUUCGUGGGAUACUUAUCUUCCGUUGAUUGAGUUCACUUAUAGCAAUAGUUACCAUUCUAGUAUCGAGAUGGCCCCUUUUGAGGCGUUGUAUGGUCGGAGGUGUAGGACUCCGUUGUGUUGGCAUGAAUCAGGUGAAAGUGUAGUACUUGGACCUGAGAUUGUUCGAGAGACUACUGAGAAGGUAAGGUUAGUUCGAGAAAAGAUGAAAGCUGCUCAAAGUCGACAGAAAAGUUACCAUGACAAAAGGCGGAAAGAUUUGGAAUUCCAAGCCGGUGACCAUGUGUUUUUGAGAGUCACACCUGUGACAGGUGUUGGCCGAGCUCUGAAGUCUAAGAAGCUCACUCCUCGUUUUAUUGGUCCGUAUCAGAUAUCGGAUAGAGUUGGAAAAGUUGCUUACCGAGUGGCGUUACCGCCAAAUCUUGCUAACUUGCACGAUGUGUUUCAUGUAUCACAACUCCGGAAAUAUAUACCCGAUCCAUCACAUGUGAUUCGGAUGGAUGAUGUGCAAGUGCGGGACAAUCUCACAGUGGAGACGAUGCCUGUACGUAUUGCAAAUCGUGAGUUGAAGAAUCUGCGAGGAAGGGAAAUUGCAUUGGUGAAAGUCGUCUGGUUAGGAGCUGCUGGAGAAAGCAUGACCUGGGAGUUAGAGAGUAAGAUGCGAGACUCCUAUCCCGAGUUGUUUGCACCAGGUAAACUUUUAUUUUCGAGGACGAAAAUACUCUAAGUGGGGGAGAGUUGUAACACCUGUAUUCGAUUAAUUAAUAAUCGGGUAAAUUAUAAAUUUUAGUCAGGAGAAAUUAAUAUUAGAAUAGUAUUAAUUUUAAUAGUAUGUAAUUAAUUAAGAGGGUUUAGUUUUGUGAUGGUAAUAGUAUUAAUGGAAUUAUAAUAUAUUGAAAAUAGGGUUAAGGUGGAAAAAGGGUAGGAUGGAGAUUUAAAAAGGAAAAAAAAAGGGUUUGGGAAAAAAGGAAAGAAAGAAGGUCGUGCGUGUGAGAGGUAGCAGGAGGAGAAGGAGAGAAAGAGUAGUGUGUGCGUGAAACCUCAGAAAGGGAGGGAGAACGGUUCCGUUUCAAAGAUUUUGAUCAGGGAACUCGGAGCUGCACUCAAUCCAAAGGUAAGGGUGGGGUUUUGAGUUUCUAAUGGGAUUUUGGUGAAUGAUAUGUGGAUUUGGGGAUGUAUAAUUGUUGUUGUUAAUGAUGCUCUGGAAAUCUGAAAUUGAAUCCAAUGAUUUUGGGGAUUCUGGGUGAUUGAAUGGGGGAGGAAAAAUCUGGAAUUGGGGUUCACAGAUUCUGGAUUGAAAUCCUGGACUAAAUUUCUGGUUUUAAUUUCUGGUUUGCCAUGGUUUUCUGUUUUGAAUUUCUGUUUUGAGUUUCUGUCUUGAAUUUACGAUUGUUGUACCUGUGGUCUGGUUGAUGGGAUUCAUGAUACAUGGAUUCUGUGAUGCUAUCAAUGUAUGCAAUGAUUCAUAGGAAACUUUGCUAAAUGGCUAGGUACUAUAUGAUUUAUGCACAGAUUUGAUGAUGCUGUGCUGCUGUCCAAAAUUUUCUGGGCUGCACAGUACACUUCGAGACCUGUUUUCGCCCAGUUAGAGUGCUCAAAUGAAGAUGUGAUCAACUAAGAAAUUGUAGGACUUUAAGUUAGCUUUCUAGGCAUAUAAAAUACAUGAUUUUUGGUUCAGUAACGAAUUCAGGAGACCGCUUUUAGUGGCUGGUGUUCCUGCUGUUUUUCCAGAUUACGGAAAUUCUGAUUGUUUUGAGGGCUGGACAGUACACUUCGAGACCUGUUUUCGCCCAGUUAGAGUGCUCAAAUGAAGAUGUGAUCAACUAAGAAAUUGUAGGACUUUAAGUUAGCUUUCUAGGCAUAUAAAAUACAUGAUUUUUGGUUCAGUAACGAAUUCAUGAGACCGCUUUUAGUGGCUGGUGUUCCUGCUGUUUUUCCAGAUUACGGAAAUUCUGAUUGUUUUGAGGGCUGGACAGUACACUUCGAGACCUGUUUUCGCCCAGUUAGAGUGCUCAAAUGAAGAUGUGAUCAACUAAGAAAUUGUAGGACUUUAAGUUAGCUUUCUAGGCAUAUAAAAUACAUGAUUUUUGGUUCAGUAACGAAUUCAUGAGACCGCUUUUAGUGGCUGGUGUUCCUGCUGUUUUUCCAGAUUACGGAAAUUCUGAUUGUUUUGAAAAUAUAAUUAGAUUUAGCUUACAUGUUGUAUGAAAGUUAAUGUCUUUAUGUGCCAUGUAUUAGCUUUGAGGAUUAUGCAUGUGGCUGAACACCUUUAGCAUGAAAUCCAUAAUUUAUUUACCAUAUGUGAUAGCUUCUUCCAUGAUUGCAUGCUUAAGUGAGUUGUUUCAUUGAUUUGUUGCCAAAAUUGCCUAAGAUGUCAGGGUAAUUGUAUAGUUGAUAAAAAUGCAUGUGUGCUGAAUUGUGUUGUUUUAAGCGAUGUUAGUGAUGUAGUGAUAUAGGCGCAAUGCCUCAUGUUGAAGUGAUGAUUAUGAGAUGUAUACGUCCUUUUGAGUCGCAUAGCAUCUGCAUACUCUGUGAUGGCCUGUAUUGGCGAUUUGUGAUGAAGUAUUAUGCCUUGUGCCUCCAAUAAUUGGCAAUUAGUGAUGAGGGCUGAAGCCCUGUUGGUACCACAUACAUAUGCAUAGUCAUUGUUGUGUUCGAAUUGUAUCCGAGUUGAUGAUGUUAUUUGUGACUGUUUUUAGUAACUGAGCUAUGUAAAUGUAAAAGGAAAUGGUGUGGCCUUAAUCUAGCAUAUUAAUUUUCAUUCUCCUAUUUAUGUUACUCGAUAUCUCACCCCUUCUGUUUGAAUGUUACCCUUGUCGGUAACGUGCAGGUAACCAGGAGGAGUAGUCUAUAACUUUUAGUUCGAGUUGGAGUCCUUGCUCUGAUACGUAGCACUCGGGGGGGAAAUGGACGCUUGUUUUCCUUUCUGUUAUAAUUUGAAUUAAGUUGUUAUUUGAGAAGUUGUUUCUGUU
rnacentral:lncRNA from 1 species